rnacentral:lncRNA from 1 species
CACAGAUUCCAGGGCUCGAGAAUUUGGAUGAGGGGCAGUGCAGUUUGCUUAUCUCUGCUCCACAAUGUCUGGGAACUCAGCUGGGAAGGCUCCAAGGGCUGGGAGAGACUUGGAUUGCAGGGGCUGGAAUCAUCUGAGGUUUCCUUACUCCCAUCUGGUGCCUGGGUUGGGAUAACUCAAAGUCUGGGCACAGCUGGGGCUGUGACUGGAGCAUCUACACAUGGCCGCUCCAUGUGGCUUUGUCUUCUUCUAGCAUGGUAGCUGGACUGCAAAGGAGUCCCUGAAGGGAGCACCCAAAGAGAGAGCUUCCCCAGAGACCAUGGUAGAAGCCGAAAGAGCUCUUUUGCACUAAUCUCGGAAGUCACGGGAUCCCUUCCUCCACAUUUUGUGGCUAUAAACUAUUCACAGUGGCCACUCCAAAUUCAAAGGGAGAAGAAUUGGACUACACCUCUUGAAGGUGGAAUAACAAGAACACACAGCAGAAGAGCAUGGGAGACGUUCUUGCAAUCAUCUUUGGAAAAUACGCAGGUCAUGGAGAUAAAAAGGACAGGAAAAGAAGACCGAAACGGAGCAGCCAGCACAAUAGGAGAAGCACAGUUUCGAGUUUCCAGACCAUUGACCACAAAGUGGAGAUCCUGCCCGGAGCAUGGCGCGUUGCAGUGGAACAUUUGAACUCUCCUCAUUUUCCCUGGAGCCAGAUCAACACCUGGUUGCUCCCAACCCCACCUCCCCAUGUCGAGCAGCAGACGCUGAUGUCUGGACAGGCAUGUUUCCAAGGGUCUAGCUGGUUCCCUGUGGGUCCCCAAUGUUUGGUGCAAUGCCAGGUACAUCACAGCCACUCAGAACACACUUGUUGAAUGAAUGAAUGUUGAAUAAACUCCUUAGUCUCAGACUUACA